rnacentral:rRNA from 1 species
UACGUAGGCAGCAAGCGUUGUUCGGAGUUACUGGGCGUAAAGGGUGUGUAGGCGGUUCUUUAAGUUUGCUGUGAAAUCUCCCGGCUUAACCGGGAGGGUGCGGUGAAUACUGAGGGACUAGAGUACGGGAGAGGAAAGUGGAAUUCCUGGUGUAGCGGUGAAAUGCGCAGAUAUCGGGAAGAACACCCGUGGCGAAGGCGGUUCUCUGGGACGGUACUGACGCUGAGACGCGAAAGCGUGGGGAGCGAACAGG